rnacentral:lncRNA from 1 species
CAGCUCAAUGGAGAGGCUAUAAGGUAGGGGUGUAAUGAUUCACUGAACAGAACAAUGGCCAUAGUAAACCAUUGCACACCCUACUGUAAGUAGAGUAUGGGCCCAUUCCACAGGGGCAGAGAUGGCGGUGUCUGGGCGACGCCAGCAGGGAGAGUUGAUAUAGUACAAGAAGAGUGUGAUCAAGAGGGACCUGGAGAUGGGGAUCGUUAUGACAGUGUUCCGCUAGAAGGCAGAGUGCCUCACUGUGCGGGUCAUCAUGGAGACCAGGCAGGUGGCCUGGACUCGAACAGCAGACAAGACUGAUGGUGUCUGAAAUUGGAGCAAGGAAAGAUGUCCUGGACUUUGAGCAGUUUCAUAAAUUCUACAAUAUUCUAAUGUUCGAUCAGAAAGAUGUGAGUCAGAAUUUCACUGUACUAAUGCACUCUGUACAAAAUGCUGAACAUAUACUACGGUUUCACCACCAUUUACCGACAGUUCUACUCCUCUUACAACUUAUGUACUGUAUGUGUUGAUAUUGAAAGUCUUAGCUAGUAUAUCACAUUUUGCAUGUUUAAUAAUAUGAUGAGACAGAUUUGUGCUGUCAACCUGGCUGUGUGUGUGACUGUGUAUUGACUUGUGACUUGUGUGUAUACGUUUCAUCAGAUUCUCGAGGAGUUUAAAAGGGAGUCGUGUGCUUUUUUCAUGGUGUGGGUCUUUCUAUUUCUUUGAAAUACUAUAUAUAGUUCUACAAUCACAAUCAAUCAUUUUCUCUGCUUAUACCGGUAAGCUUGUCUUGUUGAUGGUAUGUUGGUGUGUUGUGGUUCUAUCCUACUGUAGUAGUACAGAUAAACCGUAUGCCUCUGCAGUUCUUCUCCAUGAUUUCCAACGGUUUCUUCUGUACCAGCAGAAGGUUAAGAAUCAAGCUAUCUUUCAAUUAUAAAAUUGGUAAAACUGUAUUUUUCAGUCAGUGUUUAAUCUACCUUUCAUAAUUCCCUUUAUUGUACUUUUUUCUCUCUUUUCCUCGCUCUCUCUGCUUCUGUCUCUCAGGAGUCGUGAACCAGGUCAGAGAGCUGAUGACCACCUUUAUAGACAAAACCAUGAGGAAGACCAACGAUCCAGAGUUCACUGUCAGCAAGGUGGGACAUGGUGUGUGAUUUGUCUGUGUAUGGGGAGUGGAGAAUAGUGUGUGAUGUUUGUCACAGCUCUCUCUCUCUCUCUCUCCCUCUCUCUCUCUCUCUC